CUUUGUAUUGGAAAGCCUCCCCGACUUGGUUGAGCUAGUCCUUGUGGUUCGGAUAGUUGAUGGUGUUAGCAUUGAAGAUUAUGCAAAGAGGGUGCGGGACUUGAUUCGACCUUUCGCUCACAUUAAAUCCCUGGGUUUGUUCACAGAAACCACAAAGAUUCUCUGCCAUGCUUCUGGUGAUGAUGAACUUCCCAUGUUUCUUGGUUUGUCCUCCUUGAAGUUUUAUAAUUGUCUUUUUUUUUAGUAGCAUGCAAUUAGACUCUUGCUUGGCCAGGCCCCAAAGCUUCAAAUACUUGCCUUUGAAUCUCACACAGAUUAUUCCUAUGGAGAAUCAGUACCUGACAAUUCUUGGGAUGAGUCACUGGAUGUCCCUGAAUGUUUGUUAUCACACCUAACAACUUGUCAUUAUAUAGGAUUUUUAGGGAAUAAGGACGAAAUGCAACUUGUUAGACAAAUCCUAAAGGUGGCAAGAGUGUUAAAGACAGUAAAUAUCAUCGUUAAUAGCGUCUAGAACCAUAGAGGAAGCUUCGUGUUCGCAAGCUAGCAGUAAGCAAGAUAGUAAAGAAGUUCCCAAAGAGCUCUCAGACUUGUGAAAUUGCAUUUGAUGAACGACCUCUGUUGUGAGUAUGCUACCGAUACUCAUCUUUGUGUAAGGAUUGUUACACCCUAGCAGUUGAUAUGGGCAUUACUCACCUUAAAAUUGAGCUAGAAUCUCUCUAGUAGUAGUGGUUCUACUUUUGAAAUUAAACAUUGUUUCUAAUGCCUUUUUGAAUUUGAUUUUGGUUGAGUGCUGGUGGCUAAUGCAAAAA